AUGAACGCUGGCGGCGUGCCUAAUACAUGCAAGUCGAGCGAACAGACGAGGAGCUUGCUCCUCUGACGUUAGCGGCGGACGGGUGAGUAACACGUGGAUAACCUACCUAUAAGACUGGGAUAACUUCGGGAAACCGGAGCUAAUACCGGAUAAUAUAUUGAACCGCAUGGUUCAAUAGUGAAAGACGGUUUUGCUGUCACUUAUAGAUGGAUCCGCGCCGCAUUAGCUAGUUGGUAAGGUAACGGCUUACCAAGGCAACGAUGCGUAGCCGACCUGAGAGGGUGAUCGGCCACACUGGAACUGAGACACGGUCCAGACUCCUACGGGAGGCAGCAGUAGGGAAUCUGACGCAAUGGGCGAAAGCCUGACGGAGCAACGCCGCGUGAGUGAUGAAGGUCUUCGGAUCGUAAAACUCUGUUAUUAGGGAAGAACAAAUGUGUAAGUAACUAUGCACGUCUUGACGGUACCUAAUCAGAAAGCCACGGCUAACUACGUG
rnacentral:rRNA from 1 species